ACCAAAUCUUCUUCAGACAGAGCAAAGGUCAGAAUGCCGAGUAGUAUAUGCAAACUACGUACCAAAUCAUCCUUUUCCUUUCUUUAGCGUGCGCAUUUUGGUUGGACAGGCCGUGAUAUUCUGAAUGUUCAACUAUAAAGAUCGGAACACAGGUUUUUCUUCUCUUUCUGCUAGGACAGAUAUAGAUGGAUUAGUUCUUAAAGCAAGUGAUACUGAAAAGAAGUGUUGUGUACGAUCCUCUAAUGUUUAUAACUCCUAGCUCGCAGCAUGUUUCCAAUUCUCGACGAGUAAUGAACUAUUUCCACAUCUUUACAUUCAAUUAAUAAUCCAUCUUGCAUGCGAUAACUCUAUUUCCAUAUUGUUGUCUGAUAGAACUCAAGAGUUGAAGAUGAGGAAAACAAUGAUGGUGAAGAAGAUGAUGAAGACGAUGAUGAAGAUGAUGAUGAAGAGCCCUUUGUUCGUAGAAGAGUUAUUGCAAAGCCCCCCUGCAAAAAGCUCCAAAUCCCAUCAAGAUGAAAUACUAAUUGGUAUGGAUGUGCUUCUAUAUGCAUGGACUGGUCCUGAAACUCCUGUUGCUAAGGCAGCAAUUAUCUCAGUUGUCCAGACAUAAUUGCGGGCUCGGAUCCCCUUGGACCAGCACUUAUGAGGUUGUUGCCAAUGUUGUGAUCAGAAGGGAUGCUACGCUUCCUUAUGAAUAUGAUGGUUUACGAUUUGUCACUGAUGCAGUCACAAGGUCCAUUGCAUGGCCAUCUAGCAAGCCCUACAAGCCAGGGGCAUCUUCAUCAUCUCGCCGCUAAGCACGCGCAAUUUCUCCAUUCUAACUAGGCAUGAAGAAGGCGCCCACCCAUGAGCUAUUAAUCAGAAAGACAAACAAAAGGAGCGGAAGGAACCAUGAAGAUGGCAGUUUGCAACAGCUAGGCAUUUUGUGUAAUGCAGCAAAAACAGCGUCUUUUAGUAUCAUUUUGUAAACCUAUAUGGUGCCUCGUCAUCUGGGUAGUUUGUGUAAUGGAGCAAACAAUGAAUUGGCGGACAUGCAUCUAUCAUUUUGUAAAUCUAUCAGGUGAUUCCGUGACUACAACAUAAAUGUUGGGAUGCUGAUGAGAAUUAAUUAAUGUGUUAUCCUUUUUGGUCCUGAUUUAA